UACGAAGGGGGCUAGCGUUGUUCGGAAUUACUGGGCGUAAAGCGCACGUAGGCGGCGAUUCAAGUCAGAGGUGAAAGCCCGGGGCUCAACCCCGGAACUGCCUUUGAAACUAGAUUGCUAGAAUCCUGGAGAGGUGAGUGGAAUUCCGAGUGUAGAGGUGAAAUUCGUAGAUAUUCGGAAGAACACCAGUGGCGAAGGCGACUUACUGGACACAUAUUGACGCUGAGGUGCGAAAGCGUGGGGAGCAAACAGG
rnacentral:rRNA from 1 species